rnacentral:rRNA from 1 species
UGGGGAAUAUUGCACAAUGGGGGAAACCCUGAUGCAGCGACGCCGCGUGAGUGAGGAAGUAUUUCGGUAUGUAAAGCUCUAUCAGCAGGGAAGAAAAUGACGGUACCUGACUAAGAAGCCCCGGCUAACUACGUGCCAGCAGCCGCGGUAAUACGUAGGGGGCAAGCGUUAUCCGGAUUUACUGGGUGUAAAGGGAGCGUAGACGGAAUAGCAAGUCUGAUGUGAAAACCCGGGGCUCAACUCCGGGAGUGCAUUGGAAACUGUUGAUCUAGAGUGUCGGAGAGGCAAGCGGAAUUCCUAGUGUAGCGGUGAAAUGCGUAGAUAUUAGGAGGAACACCAGUGGCGAAGGCGGCUUGCUGGACGAUGACUGACGUUGAGGCUCGAAAGCGUGGGGAGCAAACAGG